rnacentral:tRNA from 1 species
UGGAUCACCUCCUAACAGGGAGACAACAAAAUGUUUAAUAUUAUUAUUUUGUCACCUUAGGUCGAUCGGUAUCUCACGUUUUUAAUUUAUUAAGAAUUUCAUUUCCUAAGUUUUUCUAGGUCACACCCAUUAUUUUUCCUGGGCCAUUAGCUCAGGUGGUUAGAGCGCACCCCUGAUAAGGGUGAGGUCCCUGGUUCAAGUCCAGGAUGGCCCAUAUCUCUAUGUUGGGGGUAUAGCUCAGUUGGUAGAGCGCCUGCUUUGCAAGCAGGAUGUCAGCGGUUCGAGUCCGCUUACCUCCACUGAUUACCACCUCUUCCAUAACCGGUAGAAAGGAAAUUUUUUGAGUUGUGAUCAAAUUCUGAAAGAAUCUAGCUUCCUAAUGAAAUCAUUAAGAUGCUGGACUCAUUGAAUUAAUUUCAUUGUUUUCAGAGAACCUUGACAACUGCAUAGAUUAUUUUUAAAGACAAUAAGCAUCUUUAAUGAUGCAGAUUUAUUAUUUGUGCAAAUGCAUUAAUAACAAUUCUAUUAAGCUGAUGCUUCAAUAUUUGAAGUUAUUGGUCAAGCUACAAAGGGCUCACGGGGGAUACCUAGGCACACAGAGGCGAUGAAGG